AACGAACGCUGGCGGCAGGCUUAACACAUGCAGGUCGAGCGCCCCGCAAGGGGAGCGGCAGACGGGUGAGUAACGCGUGGGAAUCUACCCAUCUCUACGGAAUAACGCAUGGAAACGUGUGCUAAUACCGUAUACGUCCUUCGGGAGAAAGAUUUAUCGGAGAUGGAUGAGCCCGCGUUGGAUUAGCUAGCUGGCGGGGUAAAGGCCUACCAAGGCGACGAUCCAUAGCUGGUCUGAGAGGAUGAUCAGCCACACUGGGACUGAGACACGGCCCAGACUCCUACGGGAGGCAGCAGUGGGGAAUAUUGGACAAUGGGCGCAAGCCUGAUCCAGCCAUGCCGCGUGAGUGAUGAAGGCCCUAGGGUUGUAAAGCUCUUUCACCGGUGAAGAUAAUGACGGUAACCGGAGAAGAAGCCCCGGCUAACUUCGUGCCAGCAGCCGCCGUAAUAC
rnacentral:rRNA from 1 species